GAGGGACCGCGCUACCAUGCAGUCGACGGUGAAGCGGAGCUUGCUCUGCUGGAUCAGUGGCGAACGGGUGAGUAACACGUGAGCAAUCUGCCCCUGACUCUGGGAUAAGCGCUGGAAACGGCGUCUAAUACCGGAUACGAGCUGCGAAGGCAUCUUCAGCAGCUGGAAAGAAUUUCGGUCAGGGAUGAGCUCGCGGCCUAUCAGCUUGUUGGUGAGGUAACGGCUCACCAAGGCGUCGACGGGUAGCCGGCCUGAGAGGGUGACCGGCCACACUGGGACUGAGACACGGCCCAGACUCCUACGGGAGGCAGCAGUGGGGAAUAUUGCACAAUGGGCGAAAGCCUGAUGCAGCAACGCCGCGUGAGGGACGACGGCCUUCGGGUUGUAAACCUCUUUUAGCAGGGAAGAAGCGAAAGUGACGGUACCUGCAGAAAAAGCGCCGGCUAACUACGUGCCAGCAGCCGCGGUAAUACGUAGGGCGCAAGCGUUAUCCGGAAUUAUUGGGCGUAAAGAGCUCGUAGGCGGUUUGUCGCGUCUGCUGUGAAAACCCGAGGCUCAACCUCGGGCCUGCAGUGGGUACGGGCAGACUAGAGUGCGGUAGGGGAGAUUGGAAUUCCUGGUGUAGCGGUGGAAUGCGCAGAUAUCAGGAGGAACACCGAUGGCGAAGGCAGAUCUCUGGGCCGUAACUGACGCUGAGGAGCGAAAGGGUGGGGAGCAAACAGGCUUAGAUACCCUGGUAGUCCACCCCGUAAACGUUGGGAACUAGUUGUGGGGACCAUUCCACGGUUUCCGUGACGCAGCUAACGCAUUAAGUUCCCCGCCUGGGGAGUACGGCCGCAAGGCUAAAACUCAAAGGAAUUGACGGGGACCCGCACAAGCGGCGGAGCAUGCGGAUUAAUUCGAUGCAACGCGAAGAACCUUACCAAGGCUGACAUAUACGAGAACGGGUC
rnacentral:rRNA from 1 species